UUUUUUUUUUUUUUUUUUUUUUUUUUUUUUGUCUUUUGUCUUUUGAGGCCUGCACCUGCAGCAUAUGGAGGUUCCCAGGCUAGCGGUCUAAUCAAAGCUCUUGCUGCUGGCCUCUGCCACAGCCACAGUAACACCAGACCUGAGCUGCGUCUGCGACCUACACCACAGCUCAUGGCAACACCGGAUCCUUAAUCCACUGAGCGAGGCCAGGGAUCAAACCCGCAACCUCAUGGUUCCUUGUCGGAUUCGUUUCCACUGCACCACUAUGGGAACUCCGUCUUUUCUUAAACUCUUAGAAUAUCAAAUUAGUGACUGCUUCUAUCAAAUUGAAGCAGUCACUAAUUUAAUUAAAUAACCAAACUACUUGAUCAAGCUACAAUUUACAUGCCAUUAAAUUCACCCAAUUAAGGCAUGCAAUUCAUGAUUUUUCAUAAAUUUACCAAGUUGUGUAAUCAUCCCCAUCAUCUAGUCACAGAACAUUCCCAUCGCUCCAGUAAGGUCCCAUACUCCCAUUUUCAGUUAAUCCCCAUUCCAAGCCUCGGCCCCAGGCAAAUACUGUUUUACCUUCUGUCUCUAUUGGUUUACCUUUGCAGAACCUUUCAUAUAAAUGGAAUCAUACAUUAUAGGGUUUUUUGGCGUGGCUUCUCUCACUUGGGAUAUCGUAGCUUGUAUUAGUAUUUUAUUCCUGUUUAGUUUGCUGAAUAGCGUUCAGCUGUAUGGCUGUACCAGAUUUUAUUGACCAGUCAUCUUAUCUAUUGACUUUUAAAUCCUCUGUUAAUUUUUUUUCUCCCUCCUAACUUGCUCUCUCCCAAUAAAGAGUCCUAUAGACUGCACUGUCAGACAUAUUCCAGAAUCCCAUCUCUGGCCAUGCCCAAUGGUUAUUUUUCUAGGAGAAUCUGAUUGAAGUCUUUAAAACACUGUUAGCUCUUCAGGUUGUCUCUGUGUAGAUGGGGAGCAGGUGUGGGGGGUGGACAGAAAAUUCUCACCCACUUUUCAUUUUGGAUUUGGAAGUUGAGAAAGAGUCUAAUUCUAUUAGUAUAUUUACAUUUUAAACAGAGGGAUACACUCUGAUGUCUGGGAAAGGGGCAUAAAUUAGAGUCAUCAGAACAUACUACCCACAUGAAUGCGUAUGCUCAGUUGGUUACCUUUCAGUGACUGCUGUGCCCAUUAUCAGCCAUAUUUUGGUUUUGUGGUAUGUGGCAUGCACUCAAGAUUUAAGGUGUUAGAGACAUUUCCUUCUUUCAGUGUAAAUCAGGGUGACCCAACGUCUCUGAAAGGUAAAUACUAACCCUCUCUCUCAUUUGAAAGAGUUAUUGAGCCAUGUUUACAGUGGGUCCCCUUUGUCUGCAGUGCACAUACUUCACAUUUUCUUAAAGGGAAUGGGCUACCUGCCAAUGACAUUUCACAGUUCUCAAGCUGCACGGUUUCUUCAGGAAUAUAAUUCCUCAUCUGCUUUGCCUUUUCCCUUUGAGUUUUGCGUUUCAUCCUUGCUCUGUGCAAUACACCAAUCAACACAAAUUCAGGCAACUCCUCAUUUCUCCUUCCUUUGAUGACCUUGAAGCUCUUCAUCUGGCCAGUCGAUCACGCCCAGAGGAAUGCAGUGGGACGUGCCUCUGCAGUGGUGCAGGGAAGCCCAGCCUGCCUCUGUAUUGUAUAAUUUCUCCCUUCUCUUUGUGAUAUCCCUGUUGCUAUUCCUUUCCCACCUUAAAACAAAAUGAAACAAAACAAGACAAAGCAAAAACCCAAGGAUACGAAUAACUUGAAAUGAACUAAAUUUGUCAUUGUUUUGACAGGAAAACUUCAUACAGAUACAAGCAAUAAUCUGCUCAUACACAUUACAAUCUCUUACACAAUAACUUCUCUUUCAUCAUUCUUCUCUGCUUGGCUACCUUCUCAUCCCCACCCUAUUUUGUACCCAUGAAAAGAAGCCAAGAGAGCUUCCCUUUGUUUUGCUUUUGUUUUUAUUUUCUGGGCUUCCAUCUGGGUCCCAGCCUAGGGCAACCAGCUGGAGGGCACAUUUGCUGGUAACUGCUGUAGAGGGAGCUCUGGUGUUUUAUAUGUGCAGCUUGUGGCUUUCUCACAGCAUUCCACGGUGAGUGAUUCUGUAAAAAGCAAAUUGGCUUUCCUCUGAGGCAUCAAAAUGGUACUAGGAAACUCUUAUCAAAGUUUAGGGAGAUGUUACAGCAGAUGGAUUGGCAUCCUUUAUUGAAAAGGUAUUAGAUGAAGCACCAGCCACUAGAACCCUACAAUCAAAAUACUGAGUUAAACCUUCCUUACAGGCAACCUGGAGAUAUUGAACAUACUGUGUAUCUUCUGUGGGAAUCACUUAUUUUCAGGGAUAAUUACACCUUCCAUAUUUUCCUACACCUUUUAUUUCAGAGGUGUCAAAAAUUCCCACGUCAAAACUUUAUUAAGAAUGAGCCUAUGCUAUUAAAGUUAUUUUGGACAAAAAUAUUUACAAGUACAAAUAUGAAUGAACACUUUACCUGGAUAUUUUGAAUUUGCAAAAGAACUCUGAUGCUUUGCCAUGGGAGCCUUUCUUAUGGGACCCUGAUUCAUGAUGGGAACAGACAAAGAAUUGGAGCAUUUUACAGUACUCUAAUGGACAUUUUAAUAUUUCUCAUCUGUUCUUAAUUUGAAAUAGACAUAAUCUCUUCUGGGCUAGAAGUUACUUUUAGUAUUAUUUUUAGUUGUUAGUAAAAUCUUCUCAAUGCUUUGGCUCCCAACUAGAACUAAGAAAUAUUUAGCAAAAGCUAAAGAGUCAGCUGAAUAAUGAAGUCAGGUCAAUUCAGUUCAGCCUUUUUUAUGUCUCUGCUGCAGGCGAGGCACUGAGUUGAGUAUCAUGGAGGAUGGAAGGAUAAGGAGGGAAGAGCUGUUAUCUCAGCAAGCUCAGAGGCUAGCUAGGAAACUAAUCACAGCACUCCAAUCCAGCGUGUGAAGAAAGUACAAAUAAAAGUGUUUGUCUGGGUUCAGUUUAUAGUGACUUAGGAAACAUAAAACAAAGAAGUUUUAAAAACAUACACUUAGAAAUGAAAAUUUCUCUAAGAUCAAUGACAAGUCUUUUUAUAUAAGUCACAAGGCAGCAAUAUUUCAUUGUCUGUGCCUCACCCACAGCGGGCACUUGGGUUACUUUUUUAGGACAAGCAACAGAUUAUGAGAGCCAGACAGAAAGACUGUGAUUUACUUUACUUCUCUCCCAAACAUCAGUGCAAAAUCCAUGUGGAUGUCUGAAUGUUUAAAAAAUUUUAGACUGUUUUUGUGGUUUGGGGUUGAAUUAUUGUGCAUGAUUGUCCUAAGACAAAAAAUUGAAAUGCUUUGAUGAAAGG
rnacentral:lncRNA from 1 species